AUUGAACGCUGGCGGCAGGCCUAACACAUGCAAGUCGAGCGAGCGGCGGACGGGUGAGUAAUGUAUGGGGACUGCCCGAUAGAGGGGGAUAACUACUGGAAACGGUGGCUAAUACCACAUACUUUCGGAUAACCCAUAGGGGAUUAGCUAGGGGGUAAGGUAAUGGCGUACCUAGGCGACGAUCCCUAGCGGGUGUGAGAGGAUGAUCAGCAACACUGGGACUGAGAAACGGCCCAGACUCAUACGGAGGCAGCAGUGGGGAAUAUUGCACAAUGGGCGCAAGCCUGAUACAGCCAUGCCGAGUGUAUGAAGAAGGCCCUAGGGUUGUAAAGUAUUUUCAGUCGGGAGGCGUUACCGACAGAAGAAGCACCGGCUAACUCCGUGCCAGCAGCCGCGGUAAUUC
rnacentral:rRNA from 1 species